AGAGUUAGCUUAGCUGGGAGCUUCAUGGAGACAGCUAAAGUUAAUGUUAGCUGCUCUACAGCUGUCAGUUAGCAACGACUUCAUAAUACAUUUU